rnacentral:tRNA from 1 species
UAAGGGAUAGCUCAGUUGGUAGAGCAUGAGACUCUUAAUCUUAGGGCAAUGGGUUUGAGCCCCACAUUGAGCAAAA